GUUGUUUCACAAAACAACUUCGUUAGCGUCUCUAAAAUGGCGUUCUCUCGUUUUAUCAACACGUGAUGAGCGUGGUCCUAUCCAGUGUUGCCAACUCUUCAGUAAGGAAAGCAGCUAUUGGCUGUCCUAGAAGUCUCUAAAUGACGUCAUCACCUAUUUUGCAUAAGUGGCCAUGUACUUUUAAUUGUGAUGGACGUUGUUGGAGAGAGUACGUCGUGGGAGAGACAAAAACUAGGGCGGGAUCAGUCAGCAACGGCUUCCCGCAUGAGUGAUUCAUUUGCUGUCUGGACGCGGAGGGGUGAACAUCUCCUGCUCUGACUGCAGCUGGGAGGGACUGCUGAGCGAGGACUGGGCCGCCUGUGAGUGCUUUAGGACGGGGGUGUGGCCCACGGCAGCACCCGCUGCUCGUUGAGAAGUCGGGUCAGACGCCGGGCACCAACCACACCAGGAAUUCUCUUCAAGUAUUCAACCUGAACAUCCGUCGGCACCCCUGAGAUGACUCCUUUGACCGGUGCUCUACUCCAAAGUUCAAAACACAAAACUUCUGUUGUCUGGAUCCUUUUGAGGCCCACAGCAAUCUUCCUCUGCUCUUCAGAAAUACAAUUAAUUAAAAUAAGACCUCUCCUGGUCACUCUGA